AGGAUGAAGGAGGGUCAGAGAGAGGGGUAGAGGUAAGGAUGAAGGAGGGUCAGAGAGAGGGGUAGAGGUAAGGAUGAAGGAGGGUCAGAGAGAGGGGUAGAGGUAAGGAUGAAGGAGGGUCAGAGAGAGGGGUAGAGGUAAGGAUGAAGGAGGGUCAGAGAGAGGGGUAGAGGUAAGGAUGAAGGAGGGUCAGAGAGAGGGGUAGAGGUAAGGAUGAAGGAGGGUCAGAGAGAGGGGUAGAGGUAAGGAUGAAGGAGGGUCAGAGAGAGGGGUAGAGGUAAGGAUGAAGGAGGGUCAGAGAGAGGGGUAGAGGUAAGGA